AACGAACGCUGGCGGCAGGCCUAACACAUGCAAGUCGAGCGGUAAGGCCCUUUCGGGGGUACACGAGCGGCGAACGGGUGAGUAACGCGUGGGUGACCUGCCCUCAGCUCUGGGAUAAGCCUGGGAAACCGGGUCUAAUACCGGAUAUGACUCCAUGACGCAUGUUGUGGGGUGGAAAGCCUUGUGCGGCUGAGGAUGGGCCCGCGGCCUAUCAGCUUGUUGGUGGGGUGAUGGCCUACCAAGGCGACGACGGGUAGCCGGCCUGAGAGGGCGACCGGCCACACUGGGACUGAGACACGGCCCAGACUCCUACGGGAGGCAGCAGGUGGGGAAUCUUGCGCAAUGGGCGAAAGCCUGACGCAGCGACGCCGCGUGAGGGAUGA
rnacentral:rRNA from 1 species